UCUCAUGGGUGAGCAAAGAAGGCGGUUUCUUGAGAUGGAAUCCACUUCCGGCGAAGAUGCUGUGAA
rnacentral:pre_miRNA from 1 species